UGGGGAAUAUUGCACAAUGGGCGCAAGCCUGAUGCAGCAACGCCGCGUGAGGGACGACGGCCUUCGGGUUGUAAACCUCUUUUAGUAGGGAAGAAGCGAAAGUGACGGUACCUGCAGAAAAACGCACCGGCUAACUACGUGCCAGCAGCCGCGGUAAUACGUAGGGUGCGAGCGUUGUCCGGAAUUAUUGGGCGUAAAGAGCUCGUAGGCGGUCUGUCGCGUCUGCUGUGAAAACCCGAGGCUCAACCUCGGGCCUGCAGUGGGUACGGGCAGACUAGAGUGCGGUAGGGGAGAAUGGAAUUCCUGGUGUAGCGGUGGAAUGCGCAGAUAUCAGGAGGAACACCGAUGGCGAAGGCAGUUCUCUGGGCCGUAACUGACGCUGAGGAGCGAAAAGCGUGGGGAGCGAACAGGAUUAGAUACCCUGGUAGUCCACGCCGUAAACGUUGGGCGCUAGAUGUGGGGACCAUUCCACGGUUUCCGUGUCGCAGCUAACGCAUUAAGCGCCCCGCCUGGGGAGUACGGCCGCAAGGCUAAAACUCAAAUGAAUUGACGGGGUCAUAGCUGUUUCCU
rnacentral:rRNA from 1 species